AUGGGUCUAUUAUGAAGUUGGAUAUUUUCAGUCCAUUCUAUCAGCUGGAGGACAAUUCAAAUAUAUUUUAUACAGACCAGCUGACAAUCAGCUAAAAAUUCUAAAUAAAUAUUGCCAUAGUGGAUUUACCAGCUAAAUGUAGACCUGCUCUACAACUCAGAUGAGACAAAAAUGGCAGGCCAGAAUGUCUUUCCAGAAAGGGACUAGAUGGAAGCUAUGUUAGAGUUUCUGAAUACUCAGAGUUGAAGAAUUUCCAAAUGAAGACUCUCCGAGCCCCUGCUCCUCUAGGGGCCUCGGCCCUGGAAUGCUUUCUCGAGAUAGUUGCUUCACUGUCACCAGCCAGGAAUCGACUGAAAUGAAACUUCGAGACCUUCGUUGACCUCCAAGCUAAGGCACCCCUUUUUUUCAUAUCCCCGUUUUCAUCAUGGCAGUUUUCACUAUGCGCUCCUUUCUUUUUUAUUUGUGUGUUGGUUUUAUGGCUUAUCUAAAUAAACUUUAAGCCCCAUGAAAGCAUGAAUGAUAUCUGUCCUUCCCAUUCCAUGCCCAGCACAGAGAAAACACUCUAUAUACUUUGUGGGGUGAAUAAAUAAACUAAUAUAUGACUGAG